UACGGGGGGAGCAAGCGUUGUUCGGAUUUACUGGGCGUAAAGGGCGCGUAGGCGGUCAGCACAAGUCAGUUGUGAAAUCUCCGGGCUUAACUCGGAAAGGUCAACUGAUACUGUGCGACUAGAGUGCAGAAGGGGCAACUGGAAUUCUCGGUGUAGCGGUGAAAUGCGCAGAUAUCAGGAGGAACACCAACGGCGAAGGCAGCUCUCUGGGACGUUACUGACGCUGAGACGCGAAAGCGUGGGGAGCAAACAGG
rnacentral:rRNA from 1 species